GACGAACCGUGCGAACGUUAUUCGGAAUCACUGGGCUUAAAGGGCGCGUAGGCGGGUCCGUAAGUCAGGGGUGAAAUCCCACGGCCCGACCGUGGAAGUGCCUCUGAUACUGCGGGCCUCGAGGGGGAUAGGGGCGUGCGGAACUCAGGGUGGAGCGGUGAAAUGCGUAGAUAUCCUGAGGAACACCGGUGGCGAAAGCGGCGCGCUGGAUCCCUUCUGACGCUGAGGCGCGAAAGCCAGGGGAGCAAACGGG
rnacentral:rRNA from 1 species